ACUCUGCUCUAGGUCACAGAGCAUUUGGUUGCAGGAGAAAGGCACGAUCCAGGCUUCAGCAGGGCCCAGGCCGGGAGGAACUGGGAUAAAAAGGAACCUCAGAAAAGCGAGUCACCCAGGGAAAGCAACAUGCUUUAUUCAGUCAUUCAGUCACUUAUUCUGUCACUCAACAAGUCUUCAGAGUAUAUCUACUGUCUGGUUACUGGGGAGACUUCAGAACUUCUAGUUUGCUGACAAGAAGAGACCCUAAGGGCACGCGGGAAGAAGAAAAGAGAAGUCAAUCUGGACAGCAUGCCUUAUUAACUCACGUUCCAGGGAUAUCAAGUGCCCCCUCCUGGCCGCGACGGGUACUGCAAGCAUGUGGCACAUGGACACAUGUUCAGGUCAAACUCCCACAGACACAUAUUAAAAAUC